rnacentral:tRNA from 4 species
GGGCGCGUAGCUCAGGGGUAGAGCGUCGCCCUUACAAGGCGAAUGUCGGCGGUUCGAAACCGUCCGCGCCCACCG